UGAAUGGAACAGGAUGUUAUGGGGACCAAUCAUGUGAGGGCCAGCCCACUGAUGUGAACCAAUCCUGUGAGGGCCAGCCCACUGAUGUGAACCAACUCUGUGAGGGCCGGCCCUAUGACUUUAUAUUCCCCUAUUUCACUUCACUGAAGUUCACUCAACAAAAUGCUCAAAGUGCUGUCAUAUCUUACUUGACUGGGAAACCAGAUGGCCAACGGGAGUCGUCUUAUACGGUGCUCAUUGUCAUCAGGAGGUAAUUCAGGAGUCAAGUCAACUGACACGAGAUAGGACAGGAAUCGCAUCAGCUUUCUCCAUGGCAUCUAUAAGAAGGCACCUGCCUUGUUGCUUUCAGGUGCCGAUUUUCGAUGUUCCCACCCUCCCUCCCUAAUCACCACCAGGUCGGUCCUCGUCCAGUUGUCCAGGGGGUAGGCUUCGCCCCUGCUUCUCGUUCCGGCAGGAUUUGCCAGGGUCCGCACACUCAGUGACCUGGACCUAGGACGGGGCCUACGCCAAAGACUCUCAUUGUUGCUAAUUUCUAUUCUGAUUAAAAUCUUUGUUAACUUCA